rnacentral:tRNA from 1 species
AGUCCCGUAGUAUAGCGGUUAAUAGCCUGAACUUUGAAUCCAGUGACGCGAGUUCGAACCUCGCCGGGACCU